AGAAGAGCUCUCAUCAACUUAGAAGAAAAAAACAAUCUUUUGUCAUGCCGCCAGAACGACCGUCUCCUACGAUUUCACAGUAAUUGACGAAAUCUUCAUCUGAUGCUUUACGCGUAGUAGGUCGGGUACUGUUUCCGUUACCCCUAAUUUUUCAUUUAUUUCAUCGCUUCUGAAUAAGUAAUCGGGAAUUGAAUCUAGGGUUACACCGGGGAGUUCAGUACUGCACCGAAAACAGUAAUCUGAGAUGGCGAACGGUUCAACCACAUCAAAACCUAUUGAUGCAAAGGCAACUGUCUUUGGGGGAUACUUAUUUCUUUUCUACGGCUCCAUUUCCUUUUUGUUGUUUCUCUUUUCGGCGAUAAUUUCCAAGCUUCUUCCACCAUCUAGCAAUCAAAUAGUAUCAGCUGUUCAGAAUGACAGGUACUACUGUUUCCUGGUGCCGUUGACUCUUCCUGUUCUCGUGGUGGCUGUGUAUUUCCAUUGGCUCAGUAUGAAACUUUUUAAACAUGCAUGAAUUCAGUAUGAUGACCCAGAUAUAAUAAUGGAAUGAGGCCAGGACAAAAGGAUCACAGUGACAUAACACUCAAGCUUCUCAAUAAAUAUCCAGGAAGUGUAUGUUAAACUCUUUCACCGGACACUCUCACUUUUAUGGUGCUGUUUCACUCACUUGCAGUUGCUCAACCAAGUGCUCUUCUUUUUUUUUUUCUGUCAGAUGGUGAAAAUGCUUUAGGUAGACUGUUUAGAAAAAAUUGUAUCUUCAUCUUCUACUGAAGAGAAUGUAAGUAGCAAAUUCUGAAUAUUUUGACUGUUGUAUUUCAUUUGGAUCUGUAAGUUGAUAGCAUUCCAUUGUGUAGUCUACGCCUUCAAUAUA